GCCGGCGUAGCUCAGCUGGUGGAGCGGCUGACUCGUAAUCAGCAGGUCGUGGGUUCAAAUCCCACCGCCGGCU
rnacentral:tRNA from 1 species